UAUAUUUUAGUAUAUGAUGUAUUUUAAUUUUUGAUAUUAAAAGUAAUAGUUUGAUUCUAUUAAAUAUAA
rnacentral:tRNA from 1 species